UCGAUUCAAAGCCCUAGAACACGUACAGAAGAUCAGCGAUAAACGAGAUCCUUCAACAGUUAAACAGCAAUGAUUUCUUCAAUAGAAACAUGUUUUUGGGAAACUACUUGGGAGAUUCAGAGAUCUCUGUUGGUUUAGUUUGGGAGUUAGGGUUCUGAGAACAGGAACUUCAUGUAAUUGCAACGACCUCUUACAAAGUUUUUCAAAUCCAAGGGAACCAAUCUUGGGACAAGAUUCUUUGUGGUACUCAAGCGUUGGCAUCAUCUUCCAUAGAGAUUUCCACCGUUUAGAGAUUUUGCAGCUUUCGUGUCCUCCAAAACAGAGUGGAGAUUGGAAAGAGCAAGAUCGUUAGUUAUGAAAUUUCGUUUCCAUGGAAUCUCUGCAUCUCAUUGCGUGCUGCCAGGGCCGUCUUAGAAAGUAGGGCGGGGAGGCCCUGCGUGCUGCUGUAUUGUGAGUCUGUGACUAUCGAACAUCUGUAUUGAUUGCGAGAUUCGCAUCUCUUUGCUUUGCUUUCGAGAAGCUGAGAGAUGGCAAACAUAAUAAACAAUUCGCUUGUACUAAGCUAUUUCUACGUUAUACCCUCUUCUGGUGUCAUUCUCUACAACAAAGUGAUUUCAUAGGCUACUUUACUUUUAUAUCGUUUUUUUUUUAAUUUCUCAUGGAUUUUGAAUCAUGGAACUAGAAUUUGAGAUUUGAAACCUAGGCCCCUGAGAGUUUUAUUUCACAAUCUUUGUAUUAGUGAUUAUAGGCUUAUAGCCACAUCUUUUCCCUUUUUAGGAUUUCAUUUUGAAGUGGGUUCUAUCUCCCAAAUACUUCAAUUUUCUGUUGGAACUAUUUCUCUGUAAGUUUCUGGACAAAAACGUUCAUCGGAAUAAUUAUUUGGCACUAUAAAUUAGUGAAAUCACAUGUCAAAACAAGAGUAAAUUCUAAAUGAGAAAUGGAGGUUUAAAAUGAGUGUGUUAUAAAGCUCGUAAUAUUUUAAGGGUAAGUAUAAAAAAAUUAGCAAAUGUCUCAUUUUGAAUAUUUGAGUUUGAAUUUAGAUUUAAAUUUGUUAAUUGGUUAUUAUGUCAAUUAGAUUAUUUUUUAUAGAUCUUAUUCAUAAUAUUAUUUUAUAAUUGUUUAAAUAUAAAAUAUAAACCCACAACGAAUAUAUUGUUCAGUUUGAUUUAUAGUUCGAAAGAAAAAUAAAUGUCUUUGUAAAGUGACUUUAAUUUGGUCAUGGAUAAGUUACUCUCCUUAAUCCUAAUUAAUUUAUCAAGUAAUGUUCCAUCAAUACACAUUAUACGUUUACACUUUGUGGAGGUAUAAACAAGUUGUGUGUGUUCUCAUUUUGUAUAUACGAUCAAUUAUAGCAAAAAUAAUUCUCCCACUUGAAUAUUUGAUUCUUUAUUUUUGUGUUUUUUUUUUUAGUCUGAACAAACCUAGUGUUGUUCGCUUUUAAUGGAAUGACACAUAUUAGAAGAUUUAUGCAGUUGUAUUCUAAGAAUCUAAGCGCUAUGAAAGCGUCGCAUUACGGAACGUUUAAAGUUUAAGCAAAGAGAUUAACCAUCUCGACUCUGCAAUUCUUCUUUAUUCGUUUGUUUCAAUAUUGUAAUAUUAAUUCUUAUUCUUAUUAUUUUUACAAAUAUCAGUUGUCCCAUUGUAAUAAAAUAAAGUUGUUACACUCUUAAAUCUUUAAAUUCUACAAUCACAAGCAAACCCCUUUUCUAUGGUG